rnacentral:rRNA from 1 species
CCUACGGGAGGCAGCAGUGGGGAAUAUUGCGCAAUGGGCGAAAGCCUGACGCAUCGACGCCGCGUGAGGGAUGAAGGUCUUCGGAUCGUAAACCUCUGUCAGCAGGGAAGAACGGUCACUGUGCUAAUCAGCAGUGAAUUGACGGUACCUGCAAAGGAAGCACCGGCUAACUCCGUGCCAGCAGCCGCGGUAAUACGGAGUGUGCGAGCGUUAAUCGGAAGUACUGGGCGUAAAGCGCUCGUAGGCGGUAUGUCAAGUCAAGGGUGAAAUCCCCGCGCUCAACGUGGGAACUGCCUUUGAAACUGGCAAACUGGAGUGUGUGAGAGGAUAGUGGAAUUCCAGGUGUAGGAGUGAAAUCCGUAGAUAUCUGGUGGAACAUCAGUGACGAAGGCGACUAUCUGGCACAUAACUGACGCUGAGGAGCGAAAGCGUGGGUAGCAAACAGGAUUAGAGACCCGUGUAGUG